rnacentral:rRNA from 1 species
UGAGGAAUAUUGCGCAAUGGCCGAAAGGCUGACGCAGCGACGCCGCUUGAAGGAUGAAGUUCGUUAGAAUGUAAACUUCUUUUGUAGGGGAUGAAUGUGCCGUUUUGCGGCAUUGACCGUACCCUGCGAAUAAGGAUCGGCUAACUACGUGCCAGCAGCCGCGGUAAUACGUAGGAUCCGAGCGUUGUCCGGAUUUACUGGGUGUAAAGGGCGUGUAGGUGGGUCUCUAAGUCGGUGGUGAAAGCCCGCAGCUCAACUCCAGAACUGCCUUCGAUACUGAGAGUCUCGAGUCCGAGAGAGGUGAGUGGAACUGCGAGUGUAGAGGUGAAAUUCGUAGAUAUUCGCAAGAACACCAGUGGCGAAGGCGGCUCACUGGCUCGGUACUGACGCUGAGGUGCGAAAGCGUGGGGAGCAAACAGGAUUAGAUACCCCUGUAGUCCCUGAGCGGGCUGGCAAGGCGCAU